rnacentral:rRNA from 1 species
UACGUAGGGGGCAAGCGUUGUCCGGAUUUAUUGGGCGUAAAGAGCGUGUAGGCGGCCGCACAGGUCCGUUGUGAAAACUGGAGGCUUAACCUUCAGACGUCGAUGGAAACCGUGCGGCUAGAGUCCGGAAGAGGAGAAUGGAAUUCCUGGUGUAGCGGUGAAAUGCGCAGAUAUCGGGAGGAACACCUAUGGCGAAGGCAGCUCGCUGGGACGUUACUGACGCUGAGACGCGAAAGCGUGGGGAGCAAACAGG